rnacentral:tRNA from 1 species
AAGAGUAUAGUAUAAUUGGUUAUUACAAUUGACUUCAAAUCUAUUAAUAGUGGUUCAAAUCCGCUUACUCUUG